rnacentral:rRNA from 1 species
CCUGACCUCGAUUCGAGCGUGAAUACCCGCUGACUAA